GUGAAUCAUCGAAUCUUUGAACGCAAAUUGCACUAGCUGGUAUUCUGGGGAGUAUGCCUGUUUGAGGGUCGUUAGAAGAAAAAUGGAAGGAUCGCUCUUUGUUUGAGGGUGAGCGCGUUGGAAUUGAGCCGUCUUUCAAAUGUUAAUUUAUGUCAAAGUGGCUUAAAAUUGAUCGAUACGGUACGAUUAAAGCGUAUUUAAGAUCAAUUUGGAUUAAGAAAGCGCGAUGAAGUAUUGUCUUAUGUAGUACGUG
rnacentral:misc_RNA from 1 species